rnacentral:tRNA from 1 species
GCCAGUGUGGCAUAGUGGUUUGAGCCUUGGACUGUGACUCUGGAGACCAGGGCUUGAUUCCCAGUUUGGCC